CUUCCUCAGCCUUACUCCAGGGGUUUUUGUGCCAUAAAGUGACCUGGCAUUGCCUGAGGAUAGACAAGAAAGCACACAUCCCUCCCCAGCAAGACUCUGCUUUCUUUGGGGGCCUACAAGUGGAGCUGACAGU
ensembl:snoRNA